rnacentral:rRNA from 1 species
AUUGAACGCUGGCGGCAGGCCUAACACAUGCAAGUCGAGCGGAUGAGUGGAGCUUGCUCCAUGAUUCAGCGGCGGACGGGUGAGUAAUGCCUAGGAAUCUGCCUGGUAGUGGGGGACAACGUUUCGAAAGGAACGCUAAUACCGCAUACGUCCUACGGGAGAAAGCAGGGGACCUUCGGGCCUUGCGCUAUCAGAUGAGCCUAGGUCGGAUUAGCUAGUAGGUGAGGUAAUGGCUCACCUAGGCGACGAUCCGUAACUGGUCUGAGAGGAUGAUCAGUCACACUGGAACUGAGACACGGUCCAGACUCCUACGGGAGGCAGCAGUGGGAAUAUUGGACAAUGGCGAAAGACCUGAUCCAGCCAUGCCGCGUGUGUGAAGAAGGUCUUCGGAUUGUAAAGC